GGCAGUGUAGCAUAGUGGUAAGGCGCAGGGCUUGUAACCUUUUGUAAUCAAAGGGUUGCCGGUUCAAUUCCCCACUGGGGCACUGCCA